rnacentral:rRNA from 1 species
AAAACUUUCAACAACGGAUCUCUUGGUUCUGGCAUCGAUGAAGAACGCAGCGAAAUGCGAUAAGUAAUGUGAAUUGCAGAAUUCAGUGAAUCAUCGAAUCUUUGAACGCACAUUGCGGCGGCAGUAAUCUGCCGGCAUGCCUGUCCGAGCGUCAUUU